CUUCCCAUUGAUUUGCUGCUCCGGUCUUCCAGUGACCGGAGCGGUUAUACGCGUGGGAGACAACAACGUAGGCCGUUGUCAGCGGAGGUGGAGUGACCGUUCCAUCUCGUCUGCGCGGCCCAGACAUCG
ensembl:snoRNA